CUGUAGCAACUAGAGAGCUUUGAUGCGCUGCUGUGGUUGCCAUCGUCUCUCGGAUGAUGGCGGCGACACCGAAUCCCUACCGUGGCGAAUUCGAAUAACAAUAAUUAAGUUAGAAACCAAUUAAAAUCGGAUUGUAACGUUGCAUAUUAGUGCUAAGGCGGUCAACACAUACUGGUUUCGAAUAUUGAAGGAAACGGGUCCGGUAAGUGUUCAUUUGCGGCAGGGUUUAGCGAACACGAGUCCGCGAAAGGAAGAGGAACGCUAAUUUUGCAGGAGAGAGUCUGGAGUCUCUGCUUUCUCCGCCAUUUUGUGAUAACAAGAAGCAGAACACGAUAACCGACAGAGCUCAGAAUGACAAAUGAGGAACCUCUUCCAAAGAAGGUUCGCCUCAGUGAAUCUGACAUGAAGACCCUGACCAGAGAGGAACUGUGUGUGAGGUGGAACCAACAUGAAGCCUAUGUUCAGAUCCUGGAGGCAAAAUAUGCUGAUCUGAAUUCGAACGAUGUGACUGGGCUGAAGGAGUCUGAGGAGAAGCUGAAGCAGCAGCAGCAGGAGGCGUCACGCAGGGAGAACAUCCUAGUCAUGCGGCUCGCAACCAAGGAGCAGGAAAUGCAAGAGUGUACAACCCAGAUCCAGUACCUCAAGCAAGUCCAGCAACCCAGUGCCGCCCAACUGCGGUCAUCAAUGGUAGACCCGGCCAUCAACUUAUUUUUCCUCAAAAUGAAGGGAGAACUGGAACAGACUAAAGACAAACUGGAGCAGGCCCAAAAUGAACUGAGUGCCUGGAAAUUUACACCAGAUAGGUAAAGACAAUCAAAAUAACUCCCCCUCCUCCUCCCACCCCCACAAAAAAGUCAAGACCUCCUCACACCCCCCACCCCCUCUGCAGGCAUGCAGGAAUCAUGGUGGGGGGAUGGCUGAGAAAUGCUGUACUCACCACAAGACUCAGACUUUACCAAAUACACAAAAAACAAACUGCCACCCAUGUUUUGUGUACUCUUUUACUGUCCCCCAGCUACAUAUCACAUAAUCUAAACUGAAUGAAAAAAACAGUAUGGUCAGGUGACACUUGUUUCAGCUCUCUCACCCCCCCCUCACCGUCCAGGGGCCCUGAAGGAGUCGGGACUGUUCCUGAAGAGGUGGUCACGUCCGACACGGAUAUGCCCCCCACCGCCCCUCUCUCAGCCCAAGCCAGACAGUUGCCUUAUUAAAUGAGGGGGGGGGGGUUGUUAUGGUGGAGAUUGAGGCAGUCUUGGGCAAACUGCCGGAGCAGGGAGAGCACCCUUAGCCUAAAUAACCAAUUGAACAUUUAAAGACAAUGCCCCGCUAGCUAAAGACAUUUAAGUGGAAAACGCCACACCUAUACCCACUAGUGCUCCUGAGACUCUAAGACUCUUGGACAGAUUGUAGAAUACAAUGAAAAUACUGUGGGAAAGGUUCUAGGAUAAACUGUAAGACUUUCUAGGGAGGAGCCAGACCCUCAGUCCAGAAUUGACUAUGGUUGAGGCGUGCGUGAGCGAGGGUCUGAUUGCCUGUGUCUUUGAGCAUGGGCCCACAUACGGGUAGAGUGUAUUUACAUGUUUUAUUUUCCAGACGGGGAAGAAGCUAAUGGCCAAGUGCCGGAUGCUGAUCCAGGAGAACCAGGAGCUGGGGAGGCAGCUGUCCCAGGGACGUAUCGCCCAGUUGGAGGCAGAGCUGGCCCUGCAGAAGAAGUACAGCGAGGAGCUCAAGAGCAGCCAAGACGAGUUGAAUGAUUUCAUCAUCCAGCUGGAUGAGGAAGUAGAGGGCAUGCAGAGCACAAUCCUGGUCCUCCAGCAGCAGCUCAGGGAGACCCGCCAGCAGCUCUCCCAGAACCCAGCUCAGGCUGCCUCUGCUGGGGCAGGCCCCAGCAGGACUUCACCCUCCGCCGAGCCCCCCAGCCAGCCCGAGCAGCCCUCUGCCCAAGCCGGGAAAGACUGCGGAAGGGUCUCCAACGGCCCAAGCAACGGCAGCUCGUCCUCCCAGAGGGGUGCGGUGACCACCCCCAGCCUGUACCGCGAGGUCAGCAGCACAGAGGAAGACUUUCCCCCGUCCCCCAUGGUCUCCAGCCCUGGUGAGGGCGAGACGAAACUCUCCAACCACUCAGAGGAGGCAGCGGGGGGCCAGACUGGUGGCAGUGCAGGGGGUACAGCAGCAGGGGGGUUCGGGAGCCAGCUGAGCACAGGGUAUGAGAGCGUGGACUCCCCGACGGGCAGCGAAACGUCCCUGACGCAGCACUCGAACGACACAGACUCCAACACCGACCCCCACGAAGACAAGUCUGCCCUGGUCGUCAAGGGGAACAGGACUGCGGGGUCGCGGCAGGCUCAGAACGGCCUGAGCGUGAGCAGUGGCACAGUUUUGUAAUGUACUUUAUAAUAACACGUCAUUUGUCUUUUUCUUUUUAUACGAGACACAAACGCAUAGUUGGUAAAAACAGAACUGCUGUCCAGAACUUUUUCUCCUCUCCUUUGCCUAUCGUGAUACCUCUUCCACAAUUUAAAGAAAAGAAUUGCAUUGCUAAACAGGAACAUUACGUGAAAUGAAUUAAUGUAUGUGCAUAUGACUUGAGUUUUGUAUGAUUCAAGCUAGAUCUUUUUUUCUUUGGUCUCUUGGUUAUUUGAACAUGUUGCUCGAUAACGUUCUUGUUUGAACUCUUGACAAACUCAAAUGAUCAAGCAUCUGGUGUUGUAGUCAUGCUCAAUAAAAGUCAAACCACAGUUCACUUUAGUAGCUUUGCAAUGUUAAAUGAUAUCUUUUAGAUGUUGACUUUUAUUUUUUUUAAUCCUUGGCAAAUACAUUUCUGUUUGAAAAUGUGUGUAGUUUCUACGCGAUGUAACUUGAAUUCAUUAUUCUGACUUCCAUCCUUCUCAUGUACUGACCAAAUAUCAAUAAAGACUUUUAAUAUGGUA